UUUGAGGUGGACGAGGAGGUUGAGGGCAUUGUCGACGCACCAAAAGGAAGAGCGGGCAAUUACAGCACCAACGAUGACAAGUUACUAUGCAAUACUUAUUUGCAAGUGUCGAGGGAUCCAUCCAUUGGAGGUGAUCAAAGUAGAGAUGCGUAUUGGGGGCGAAUGAAAGAAUACUUUGAUUAUCACAACAUGAGUGGAAUUGACCGCUCGGAGAGAUCACUUCGGUCCCGAUGGUCCACAAUCAACUCGGAUUGUCAAAAGUGGGCGGCCGCACAAAAGUCAGUUGACAAGAUUAACCCAAGUGGCACAAAUGAGGAUGAU
rnacentral:rRNA from 1 species